GCUCAUCCCAACAGAACCUCUUCCGGUGGC
rnacentral:piRNA from 1 species